rnacentral:snRNA from 1 species
GUACAUGCUUCGGCUGUACAUAUACUAAAGUUGGAACAGAAAAGAUUAGCAUGGCCCCUGCCCAAGGAUGACACGCAAAUUCAUGAAGCCAAAUUCGUGAAGCGUUCCAUAUUUUU